rnacentral:rRNA from 1 species
GACGAACGCUGGCGGCGUGCUUAACACAUGCAAGUCGAACGGAAAGGCCCUGCUUUUGUUGGGUGCUCGAGUGGCGAACGGGUGAGUAACACGUGAGUAACCUGCCCUUGACUUUGGGAUAACUUCAGGAAACUGGGGCUAAUACCGGAUAGGAGCUCCUGCUGCAUGGUGGGGGUUGGAAAGUUUCGGCGGUUGGGGAUGGACUCGCGGCUUAUCAGCUUGUUGGUGGGGUAGUGGCUUACCAAGGCUUUGACGGGUAGCCGGCCUGAGAGGGUGACCGGCCACAAUGGGACUGAGAUACGGCGCAGACUCCUACGGGAGGCAGCAGUGGGGAAUAUUGCACAAUGGGCGGAAGCCUGAUGCAGCAACGCCGCGUGCGGGAUGACGGGCUUCGGGUUGUAAACCGCUUUCGCCUGUGACGAAGCGUGAGUGACGGUAAUGGGUAAAGAAGCACCGGCUAACUACGUG